UAGAUAAAAGCCAGGAACUCAGAUGUUU
rnacentral:piRNA from 1 species